AGUGAACGCUGGCGGUAGGCCUAACACAUGCAAGUCGAACGGCAGCACAGUAAGAGCUUGCUCUUACGGGUGGCGAGUGGCGGACGGGUGAGGAAUACAUCGGACUCUACUUUUUCGUGGGGGAUAACGUAGGGAAACUUACGCUAAUACCGCAUACGACCUACGGGUGAAAGCAGGGGAUCUUCGGACCUUGCGCGAUUGAAUGAGCCGAUGUCGGAUUAGCUAGUUGGCGGGGUAAAGGCCCACCAAGGCGACGAUCCCUAGCUGGUCUGAGAGGAUGUACAGGCACAGUGGAACUGAGACACGGCACAGAGUCCUACGGGAGGCAGCAGUGGGGAAUAUUGGAAAAAGGGCGGAAGACUGAACCAGCCAUACCGCGUGGGUGAAGAAGGCCUUCGUGUUGGAAAGCCCUUUUGGUGGGAAAGAAAGGCAGCAGGUGAAUACCCCGCUGUUCUGACGGUACCCAAAGAAUAAGCACCGGCUAACUUCGU
rnacentral:rRNA from 1 species